GCAGGCGCCAGGAGACCCUGCUUGGCCGUCGCCGCCGCAGCCGGCUUGGUAGUCAGGCCGCCGCCAGCGAACCUGUUGCGUAGCCUGUCACGGCCGCUCGGGCUCCCGGGCGCCGCCUCAGCCCCACAACAACAUGGCGGACGCGGCCUCCGCAGGAAGCCGGGGGGCGGGGAGGUAGGCGACGGGCCGGGCAGCUGACGGCCUGCCCGCUCGCUGCCGGGUACCGACUCACCACCCUCGGGAGCCCGAAACUGCCUGGCCGCAGUUCCUCGCCCCCGGAGUGCCGGAGCACUGAAGCCCUUGGGCUUGGUCCGAAGGCCUUCUCUCCCCUCGGGGAGGCCCUGAAGCACCAGACCUGACAGCCCUUCCUGGAGCUGCGAAGACCCACCUGGCUCCUCCUCCCUGAGCUCCUGGCCUCCUCAUACAAGACCAGACUUGAACGAUUCUGGAGCUGGUGCAAUUCAUCCUGAGUGCUCAUUCUUUCUGAAGGAGGUACCAAAUCUUUGCCAGGACAAAAAUGAAAUUCACAGAAAGAGAUGUUUACAAAGGAAUAGAGAAAAAAGCAUUGAGAAGUCUCCCUAAAAUAAACCAAAAAGCUAACAACCUCUGAUGGAAAUU